CAGACAGAAAUCCUGAAAACAUGACCUGUUGAUAGUACUUAAGGACUGGAGGUCCAAGAGGUUGGCACAAAGAUGAAGAAAGGGGCGCACACUGUGCAGGAGUGGAAUUUAAAGGCUACAGGCGAUCCAUGACUCCAAAUCAGGGAUUUCGGGGCCUUCUGUUUUAUGGCACAACACUGGAGUAAUGCAGUUGGGACAAGUUCUUAGCAUGCCGUUUGACGCAGAUUACAACAGAUGACCUGAAUUCAGCAUCCUAACAGAUCGCACAAGGCCAACACUCCAGCGCAGUUGGAUCACUAGAGCUCCAAUCUGUGCAGAACUACUGUACCCCCAUCACUGGAAUCUCUUACAAACAAAUCAACUGCAGGCAGACAAGUCCAUUGUUUGCCUCCUUCGUGGCUACAGCUACCUACACAUCUUUCAGUUAAAUAUCUCCAUCUCCAACCACAACAAAACACUGAAAGCCAGUUGCUUCAAAGGCCCUACACAUUAGCCGAUAAUCCUCAUAGAUAUGAACGAUCUCGUUCAUUAUUGAAUGAGAUACCGUUCAUAUCUUUGAGUGUGGAGUCACCAGCAAUGAACGAUGCACGGCCCGCGCUCGUUCAUCGCUGGUGGCCCGUCGGCUGUGCAUGCAGGCCAAUAUGGACGAUCUCGUCCAUAUUUGCCUGCACUUGUAUGGAGCUGUGUGAUGCAGGGAGUGAAGAAACUUCACUCCCCCCCCGUCACUGCCCCCCAUCCGCCGGGUCGCCCAUCUGCCGUAUCGGCAGUCGGGCAGCUUGGCGGCGUAUCGCCGUGUCUGUAGGGCCCUUUAAAGUGGAGGCUGGUAAUGCUUCUGUUCUUCAGUAGCCAGAUACACUUAUCCCAGCAACAAUAUCUUCGAUUGUAAACUCAUUUGAGCCGGACGAUAUCUAUUCCGUGUUAUUAGACAUACUGUAAGUUGUUUGUAUCAUGACAGCCCAAUGCACAGAGCUAAAUAAU